GGGUUUGAGCGACGCCCGUAACGGGGCCUCACUGGCUGGCAGGGAGAGACUGCAGAGGGCUCGAAUCACAGCUUCCUCAAAUGGACAGGCAGAGAAGGGAGUAGCCAGCCCCGUUCCCUUCCAGAGCUCCAAGGACUGGGUCGAUUCUGGCGCUUGGUUGCUGCUCCCUGCUGAGUGAACACACCCAAAUCGGACCUGAGGAAUUCCCGCCAGUCAAUUCCAGCUCCCCCGUCAUUCCACUCACCAGCCCUGGAUCUAGGGUGAGUCCCUCAGCCUCAGGCUCCUUCACUUGUGGGCAAGAAAUAUGCCGACUUCAUAGAUGGCUACGAGGAUGAAGAAUUCUACUUCUCAGAAUUUAACAAAAAGAACUAAGUGGCCUUCUGCUUCUGGCUUUGAUGGAGUAGCUUGGAGCAGCCUAAUGCUUCUGCUAAGACUUGGAAACGCUGAGCAAAAUACAAAAGAAAAGUUGUGUGUAUUCAUUCAAUGGAGUAAUAUGCAGUGAUGGAAAUAAGAACUCUCGCUACAAGCCAAAAUGUGGAUGAAUGUCACAAGCACGGUGUUAGGCCAAAGGAGCCAGUGCUCUAGGUCAGUGCUUCUCAAACGUGAGCGUGCUGCGCCUGCCUGUCACCUGGGGAGCUUGUUAAAAUGCGGGUUGUGAUUCGGUCUUCACAUUUCGCUGAACAUUUAGUGUAACGGUGAUGAAGUUGGAAGAAGGCGGCAUCUACGUAGGCAUCUGGACUAACCACGGCACUUUGGAGGCUGGUUCUUUAGAGAACACAUUCCAAGCUCCAUCUACAAAUAAAAAGUCUGUAUUACGUCUUGUUGGAAAGAAGAGCAGGAAGGCACUGAAGCUACCUCCGUGCACUAUUUGUUUCCUUAUUCAAAACUGCAGAAUUGAGCAGUGCUGGGGUGGAAAGAACACUGACAGGCCUCCAGUCCCACCUGCUCGUGUGAGGCGCUCUGUGGAGCUCCGGAGCUGCGGGGAGAGAGGACUCCCAAGUCCGAGGGGGCCAGGGCUUUUGUGACGUGUCCUGCAGUCUCCCGGAGAGAUGGCUGUGCUUAUCUGGCCUCCAAACAAACCCUUCCAGGGACCGGGGACAACUCCCAGGCAGUGCUUCGUGACUGGCUAUAAUCUGUGGCCACUCCAGCUUUCUCAUUCUCCUUCCAACACAUCAAGCUUUGUCACACCUCAGAGCCGGCGCACUUACUGCUUCAUCAGACUGGGAUGCUUUCUUCAAGAGCUGUCACCCCACGAGAAUGGGGCCAUCGUCUGCCGGGUGCUGCUGCCCCUCACAGAGGAGAUGCUCAGGAAAAGCUUAUUGAAUGGAUGAGUGGUUUUGUUUUUUGAUUGGUUUUUGCAGACAAGGGGCAUGGGAGACAGAAUUUGUUCCUUUAGGUUUGAAAUAUGUUUCAGCUUUGUCUUCUUCACUACAGGCUCGUCGGUUUGCACAGGAUUCUCAUAUUUAAGUGCAGAUCCCUGCAAGUGCACAAUGGGGGUAAUAAAGGCACCCAUCUCCUGGAGUUUUUAAGGGCACUAAAUGAGAAAUAUGCACAAGGUGCUUCUCACCGUGCCAGGCAGCUGUUUCCGGGAUGCUGUGCGAACUUGAUCUCAGAACCAGCAGCAGAAACACUGGUCUCGUCCGUCCCCUAAGAAAUGAGAAGACUUCCUUCAGGAGUUUGAACUGCUUCUAAGCUUUAACAAUCCUUAUUCUCCUCAAGGCAAUGACCCUCUGGCUGAAAAGGACAAAUUUGAUGUACAAGUGGGAAAAAAGAAAAGCACAUCAAAAUGCUUCAAAACGUUAUCUUGACAUAUUAACUUUCAUAUUAAUUCAAUAACAAGCAACAGUAAAAUAAAUCUUUUAUACAGCUGUUUUGGGAUGCCAAAAAGGCCUCAUAAAUAGGUGGCAUUAUGUAGUACGGUGACCAGAACAAGGAAGGCCAUCUGCCAGUUUUCCAUUGUUCUGUGGCCGGGUUUUGGUUUCACAUUGCACUCGGGUUAUUUAUAAGCUUGAGCUUGUUCAGGUGCAGACGAAGAACAGAGGGGUACUAUAUUGGUCUGUUUGGGCUCCAAUAACAAAAAUACCACUGACUGAGUGGCUUAAAGAACAAAUAUUUUAUUUCCCAGAGCUCUAGAAGCUGGGAAGUCCAAGAUCAAGAGCCGGCAGGUUCGGUGUCUGGUGACUGCCAGCUUCCGGCCUCACAGCCUGCCAUCUUCUUGCUGCGUCCUCACCUGGUGGAAGGCGCAAGGGAGCUCGCUGGGGUCUCUUUUACGAGGGCACUAAUCCCGUUCAUGAGGGCUUCACUCUUAUCUUAGUCAUCUUAUCUUAUCUUAUCACUUAGUCACCUCCCAGAGGUCCCCCCUCCAAAUGCCAUCCCAUUAGAGGUUAGGAUUUGAACAUACAAAUUCCAGGGGGACACAUUCAGUCAUGCAGGUACUGACACCGCAACAGAUGUGGAAUGGGUGAAGAAGCUGUAUGUUUUAGCCUUAAAAAAAAAAACAAAAAAACCUCAGGAGAACAUAUCAGUUGACUUCAAAUAUCUAAAGGUUGUCCUUUCUUAAUAUUUUAAAUAAUACUAACGUGUUUUAGUUUAUAGCACCUCCUGUCCAUUUUGGAUAAGGAUGGGCAGAUAAUACAUUUCCAAACAAACGCGUAUAGUUCGAUUGUUU
rnacentral:lncRNA from 1 species